UCCCUGGUGGUCCAGUGGUUAUGACUCUGCACUCUCAAUGGAGGGGGCCCAGUUCGAUCCCGGGUCAGGGAA